rnacentral:pre_miRNA from 1 species
AAAAAGACAAACCCUGGUUUCCGUGACCAACGUUUGACCGUUCGUCUUAUUUGAAAAAAUUAUGAAAAAAAUUAAAAAGACAAGUCGCGCAUAAAAUAUUAAUCAUGUUUUAUCAUCUAACAACAAUGAAAAUACGAAUUAUAAAAAAAAUUUCAUAUAAGACGAAGUUGGGCACGUAAACCUAUAGUUUACCAUUUU